UUUUUAUUGGAUGAUGAUUGUCACGUGUCAUGUUCUGAUGGGAUGUCAACUCCAUGGAAGAUGAAAUGUAUUGUUGUUGUCAUUCGUCAAUCAGAACAUGACAUGUGGUAGUUAUCAUUC
rfam:Glycine max cultivar Williams 82 chromosome 8, whole genome shotgun sequence.